UACGGAGGGUGCAAGCGUUAUCCGGAUUCACUGGGUUUAAAGGGUGCGUAGGCGGGUUGGUAAGUCCGUGGGGAAAUCCCCAAGCUUAACUUGGGAACUGCCGUGGAUACUAUCAAUCUUGAAUAUCGUGGAGGUAAGCGGAAUAUGUCAUGUAGCGGUGAAAUGCUUAGAUAUGACAUAGAACCCCAAUUGCGUAGGCAGCUUACCAAGCUCUAACUGACACUGAUGCACGAAAGUGUGGGGAUCAAACAGG
rnacentral:rRNA from 1 species